rnacentral:miRNA from 1 species
UUUCUGAUCUCCAGCCGAUGGU